UAGUCAAUGGAGAACAAACAUACAACCCGAGAGAAGGAAAACCCCUUUGAACUUGUACCUCCUUGCCGUAAGCAACCUUUUGUUCCAGAUAUUGAUUCAUCCAUGAUUAUAUCUAAAUAUACAAAUUUUGAGGCUCUGACCACAAUCCAGUGGGUUCGAAGGGACCUCCAGAUCCAACAAGAUGACCCAACUUAGACGGGUCAAGAA
rnacentral:lncRNA from 1 species